rnacentral:rRNA from 1 species
CAGCAGUGAGGAAUAUUGGUCAAUGGACGAGAGUCUGAACCAGCCAAAUCGCGUGAAGGAAGACUGCCCUACGGGUUGUAAACUUCUUUUGUACAGGAAUAAAAGACAUUACGUGUAAUGUAUUGCAUGUACUGUACGAAUAAGCAUCGGCUAACUCCGUGCCAGCAGCCGCGGUAAUACGGAGGAUGCGAGCGUUAUCCGGAUUUAUUGGGUUUAAAGGGUGCGCAGGCGGGAUUUUAAGUCAGCGGUGAAAUUUUCAGGCUCAACCUGAACACUGCCGUUGAAACUGGGAUUCUUGAGUAUGGAUGAAGUAGGCGGAAUUCGUUGUGUAGCGGUGACAUGCUUAGAUAUAACGAGGAACUCCGAUUGCGUAGGCAGCUUACUAAGCCAUAACUGACGCUCAAGCACGAAAGCGUGGGGAUCAAACAGGAUUAGA